UUAGAAAGCACACGUUUUCCUCUUUCCACUCACUCCACGUUGCCUAAACCGCGGUUUCCUCUUCCCGGCGGCGCUGGGACUGAGGCAGCUGAGGCGCGCUCCGCUCCCGGGAACCUCGGGCCUUGGCGCGCCAUUUUCCGUCGCGCAGUUAGUUGCCGGGGAGUCCUGAGACCUUUUGAUCGGGUCCCUUUCGUCUCUAGGCCCCUCGGCGAUCUCCGAUCAGACUCACCCACCAGAGCACCGCCACAAAGGUCCGGGGAAGAAACCUCUCACCUCCCUGGAGUCUCAGCUCAGCGUUUGGGAAGGAACCGUUUAAAAACCCAGGACAUUCACGAUCUUGGUGCAAAUGUGUUGGCGCUGUGGGACGAGCGUCGUUGGACAACUUUCAAACCACAGCGCCAGGGCAGCCAAGCAUCCUGACGACCGGAAGUGCCUGUGGGGAAGCUGGACUUGCACUUAGAUUGCACUUGGAGACCUCCAGCCUCCUCUAACCCAGGCCUCUUAAGGAAUGUGAAUCAAUAAGUGGCAUAAAUUAUUCACCUCAAGGAACAUUCUCAGAAAUGAAUGUCAGACUGGAGAAAUCGCCAGCAGGGUAUUCGCUCUUUUCAGUGUUUGACUCUCGGUUCACCUUCUGAAUGGCUGGGCCUGUCUAAGCUAUGAAACAUUCAGAUCUCAGAGAAGAAUGAUGACUCUAAGUUGUGCUGAGAUUUCAAGGCAACUCUGAGUUUCCUUUUCAGCCUCUUCCGCAGGGUCAGGGAAAGAGCGUGUGGGCACAGUGUCAUUGUGGGCAAUGCCAUAGGACCCCUCUGUGCCGUGAUCUCAGGGUCUGGAAAGGACCUGUCCUCUGUUCAAACAGGCCUUUUCUCCUUGCUGGCUGAGAUAUCAGAAAUUCAACCCCUCUCUUAAAACCAUUCUGAGGGCUUUGCCUCUUUGGAAGGCUCCUUUCAAACUGCAAAGCCUCAGGAGGGGAGGAGAGGAAAAUUAAAAUGUAUUGAACACCUUCUGGGAUUUUUUUCAUUGUCAUGCAUCCUCCCCCACAAAAUAGAUAUGCUUUGCAAACUUGCUUUGUUAGUUUUUUCUUUUAAAUUGUUGGAAGUUCCUUUCCAUACGCUGCAGGUGUGGCCCUAAGAAAACAUAACAAAUAAACAAACAAAAAAGACACA
rnacentral:lncRNA from 1 species